AGGAAGGACAGUUAAGUUGAGGUGGGAUAGGCUUUCCUGAAUAAAUGAGUCUUCAAGGAUCGUGUAAAGGCAGACAGGGUAGGAGAUAGCUGGACAGGUUGGGUAGGGAGUUUCAG